CAGACUCUCUGUUUUUUCUUUCUCUGUUUUUUCUUUCUUCCUUCUUCUUCUCUUUCACAGUCUCGACCAUGCUCUGUUUUUCACUUUUUUUUCUUUCUUCUUUCUUCUUUCUUCCUUUUUUUUUUUCACAGUCAGCAGUCUCGACCAGAACCAGCAGUACAGUGCUCUGUUUUAUAGACCAGCACUGUCCAGUUGCUUAA
rnacentral:lncRNA from 1 species